AUUGAACGCUGGCGGCAGGCCUAACACAUGCAAGUCGAGCGAGCGGCGGACGGGUGAGUAAUGUAUGGGGACUGCCCGAUAGAGGGGGAUAACUACUGGAAACGGUGGCUAAUACCGCAUACUAUCGGAUAACCCAUAUGGGAUUAGCUAGUAGGUGGGGUAAAGGCUCACCUAGGCGACGAUCUCUAGCUGGUCUGAUAGGAGGAUAAGCAACACUGGGACUGAGACACGGCCCAGAAUCAGACGGAGGCAGCAGUGGGGAAUAUUGCACAAAGGGCGCAAGCCGGAUGCAGCCAGGCGGCGUGGAUGAAGAAGGCCUUAGGGUGGUAAAGGACUUUCAGCGGGGAGGCGUUACCCGCAGAAGAAGCACCGGCUAACUCCGUGCCAGCCGCCGCGGUAAUAC
rnacentral:rRNA from 1 species